rnacentral:lncRNA from 1 species
UGUCUCUUCUCGUAUCUGAAAUAACUCGCGUGUUAAAACUAACAAAUAAAUGAAGUGCAAGCAACAUAGUAUAAGUGACAAGCUCUUACCUCUGAUACUUCUUGACAUAAUGUAGGUAAUUGCGUCGAACAAUGAUGGUUCUGUUCAUCUUAGCACUGUGGCAUGUACCAGCAAGGAUACGACCUCGGAUAGAAACAUUGCCAGUGAAUGGGCAUUUCUUGUCAAUAUAUGUACCUAAAUCAAAUUAGGCCAAACAUAAAGUUAGACCAGAGAACAAGGUGAAAUUAAGGAAACCCAUGAAAUAAUCAAAAGAUAUCUGCCACAAGCCCACAACAGAUAUAAACAAGUGUCAACUUAGCCCAUAUUUCCAGAAGCCUAGUUCAGUCAAAGGUUUAAUAUUUAGAGAACCAAUUCCAGUUUAUGCAAAACGAAGGCACAAUAACUUAAAAUGAAAAAGCUACAGAGAAAAACAAAAGUGCUUCAAUCCUAAAUGCUUUGGUUUUGUCGGAUGUUCCGUAGAAGACUUAAAAGAAAAUCAAAAGAUUGCCACAUGAUUGGUCAAAGCAUCACAGCACCAUAAACAGAGAUGGAUAACUUGCGUCCUGCAUAAUCCUAAUAUUUUAAGUCGGAGCUAACAAGACAUCAGGUCAAAUAACUUCAUAAUAGAAAUAUUUACAACUACAAGCAAAAAAUAAUAACUUGAUAAAAAGAUUUACCAAGUGCCACCCACAUUACAAAAAACAUUAAAUUCUUACAAGGGAGUUUUUUGCCAUUUGCAUCAAGUUGGCCCAUUGCUAAAGGCGUUAACAAUAUGUACAUGACCUUAAUCCUAAGCUAGUUGAGACUCAAUACAUCAAUACUAAACCAGUUGAGACUCAAUACAUCAAUCCUAAACUAGAUGAAACUCAAUACAUCAAUCCUAAACUGGUUGAGAAUCAAUGUAUAAAGACAAUAUAGAAUAAAACUAAUUUUAUUUGCACGAAAGUGGAAAUCAAAAACCAGCCUUGCAGAAUUUAUGUUCUGCGCCAUUCAGAUCAUAAUAGAAUAUACAACACAACUAUAUUCACUAUACUAGGUAAAACUCGUAUCUAAACUAUAAAUCAACAAUGCAGAAGCCAGCCGGAAACAAAAUUAAAUAGAGUAAUUGAGCAAUGGAUUUAAUAUAAUUAGAGCAAGCGAAUACGAACCUUCAGUAGCCUCACGAGGAGUCUUGAAUCCUAAACCGAUACUCUUAAAGUAUCGAUUGCCUCCCUUUCCUGGCCUCUUUCCCUUCCCGGUCUUCUUAGAGCUGCCCAAAUCAUAUAAACAACAAAACGCAAAUCUUAACCUCAAAUCCCUCUCAACUAGCGGACUUGAACAGAAAAAGCAUGUAGCAUCAGUCACAACACUCACCUUAGAAAAACACCUGGCUGCUUCAAAAACGCCUUCUCCGUCUGCUCCGCCAUGAUUGAGGGUUUGCAAAUGAAGAUGAACUGAACGGCGACAAAGGCUCGGUAGCAAAAACCCUAAUUUGCAGUGGAGAGUAAUGGACUCGUGGGCUUAAAGAAACUUAUAUACUUCACCACUCACUACUAGACAGGUUGGGUUAGAUAUUAUGGACUGGAUUUGCAGAAUGGGCUAAUUUACAGAUGGGCCUAAAAUUUAACCUGCUAAAAUUGUAAAAAGAUCGGGCAAAUUAUAGAAAUCACAUAUUUUUAAGGCAAAAUUACAAUUUAUCCAUUAAAAGUUUACAGAUGUCCUCAAAAUGGAUAUGACAAUGUGAGCGCUGACACAUUAAUCUAAUGCGUGAGAUACAUUAAUUGUUAAGUAAGAUACAUUACAUUUUAUACAUGAUACACUAAUCUGAUAUACAUUUUAUACAUGAUACACUAAUUUGAUGCGCGAGAUACACUAAUGUGAUGCGCGAAAAUGAGGGAUUUUAAAAAUUUGUAAAAGUUAUAAGGGAUAAUGAUAAUAAGUAAACUAAAAGGUGAGAUUUUUGUGAUUAAUCCAAAAAAAUCAAGAGAUUGUCAUUUUAUUUGUAUAGAUAACUAUUUCGUACUCUUUUGGUUCUGAUUUAUAUGUCAUCAAUUUUAGAUUUCAGGCUCCUAACUUAUUUAGCGUUAUCAUGAAGUCAAGUUUUCGAUAGAAGCAUAAAAAUACAUAUGGUAUACACUUAAUAUAUACUUGGAAAAACUUCAUACGAUUGUUUAUAUUUCUCUAUUUUAUUACAUAAAAGUUUAUGAUUUAUUUUGAAUGGAAAACAUUAUACAUCAUAUCUCUUAUGUCUUAGUUUUAUAUUUCUCACGUGUAUGAUUCUUAAUUAAAAAAAAACAUAAAUUAUCAAUAACUGUUAAAAAAAACUAAGAAAUCGAUUAACCUAGAAAAAAUAAGAAAUGUGUUUGAAUGAGAGUUGGUUGUUCAAAAAAACUACUCUCUUUAUUGUGGAAUAGUUGUCAUCUUACCAUAUCUGCAAAGUCUUCUGCGCGCUUUGGAAGAAGCGAUUUAUUACCGAGUAUAUUCCCAAUAUACUGUUUGACACUGAAAUGAAUUAUUGUUCUUGUAAGGUAACUAGAGAUUUUAAAAAUUCACUUACACAUUCAUUCACCGCAAGUCUUGGAUCGAAAGAAACAUAGAAACCUACCAAUUUGUAAAAUUCCCCUCAUCCUAGUUGUGUCCUCAUUACACAGACACAAAAAAAAAUGUUUACGUUACACAAUGUUUCAGCAUAUACGCACUCAUUCUAUAGAUAGUAAGAGUUGCACAAGUGUAGCAUCUUAUGGUUUCUUUUUUUAGAACAAAGAAAAUCUGCUUUACUAAAGUAUAUGCAAAUGGCGAUGUACCUGUAGACUAAAAUCACCACAAGUACUUUUUUUUAAAGAAGGUUCAAGCACCAGACCUAUCACAAGAUGAACAGUAAAUAUAUGGGCUCAAAUCUCAAUAGGAAAGAAAAGCUUGUUACUACUAGCAUAAAGUUUCAAAAUUUGAAUCUCAGAAAGGAGUAUAAAUGAAGACUAGAAUUCAGCAAAAGCAAAUAUGCCUUGACAUCAUUUCUAGAUGUAAACAUUAAAAUAGAAACAAUCAAGUUCACAUUCCGGUAAAAGCUUUUUUCCCAACACCACCAGAACCGGCUGGAAUCACCUUCAAUACAUUGAACCUCACAGUUUUGGAUAAAGGCCUGUCAACCAUAAAAUAUUAUCAUAUACAAUAACAGCAAAUGUUGAAAAAUCACUAUAGACAAAACAAAAUAAGUUGGUCCUAACCUGCACUGGCCAAUAGUAACAUGAUCUCCCUCUUUCACACGGAAGCAUGGUGAUAUGUGAGCUGGAAUAUUGGAGUGUCUCUUCUCAUAUCUGAAAUAACUCGUGUUAAAACUAACAAAAGAAUAAAUAAAGUGCAAGCAACAUAGUAUAAGUGACAAGCUCUUACCUCUGAUACUUCUUGACAUAAUGUAGGUAAUUGCGUCGAACAAUGAUGGUCCUGUUCAUCUUAGCACUGUGGCAUGUACCAGCAAGGAUACGGCCUCGGAUAGAAACAUUGCCAGUGAAUGGGCAUUUCUUGUCAAUAUAUGUACCUA